UGCCCAUUAGUCUAGCGGUAGGACAUCAGACUCUGAAUCUGAGAGCCCAGGUUCGAAUCCUGGAUGGGCAGCCA
rnacentral:tRNA from 2 species